AGAACAAUAGUUUAAAAAAGAACAUUUAUUUUGCAUAUAAAAAGUAUAAAACCAUUUAUUUGUUUUA
rnacentral:tRNA from 1 species